rnacentral:rRNA from 1 species
CCUACGGGCGGCAGCAGUGGGGAAUAUUGCACAAUGGGGGAAACCCUGAUGCAGCGACGCCGCGUGAGUGAAGAAGCGUUUCGGCGCGUAAAGCUCUGUCAGCGGGGAAGAAACACGGUUCGCGAGAGCCGCGGACGGUACCCGACCAAGAAGCCCCGGCUAACUACGUGCCAGCAGCCGCGGUAAUACGUAGGGGGCAAGCGUUAUCCGGAUUCACUGGGUUUAAAGGGAGCGUAGGCCGCAUGUCAAGCGUGCUGUGAAAUGUCCGGGCUCAACCCGGGCCUUGCAGCGCGAACUGGCGUGCUUGAGUCCGCGUAAAGCAGGCGGAAUUCGUCGUGUAGCGGUGAAAUGCAUAGAUAUCACGCAGAACUCCGAUUGCGAAGGCAGCAUACCGGCGCCCAACUGACGCUCAGGCACGAAAGCGUGGGUAUCGAACAGGAUUAGAUACCCGGGUAGUC